AGAGUUUGAUCAUGGCUCAGGAUGAACGCUGGCGGCGUGCCUAACACAUGCAAGUCGAGCGAUUUACUUCGGUAAAGAGCGGCGGACGGGUGAGUAACGCGUGGGUAACCUGCCCUGUACACACGGAUAACAUACCGAAAGGUAUGCUAAUACGAGAUAAUAUACUUUUAUCUCAUGGUAGAAGUAUCAAAGCUCUGGCGGUACAGGAUGGACCCGCGUCUGAUUAGCUAGUUGGUAAGGUAACGGCUUACCAAGGCGACGAUCAGUAGCCGACCUGAGAGGGUGAUCGGCCACAUUGGAACUGAGACACGGUCCAAACUCCUACGGGAGGCAGCAGUGGGGAAUAUUGCACAAUGGGCGAAAGCCUGAUGCAGCAACGCCGCGUGAGCGAUGAAGGCCUUCGGGUCGUAAAGCUCUGUCCUCAAGGAAGAUAAUGACGGUACUUGAGGAGGAAGCCCCGGCUAACUACGUG
rnacentral:rRNA from 1 species